GAUGAACGCUGGCGGCGUGCCUAAUACAUGCAAGUCGAGCGAACAGACGAGGAGCUUGCUCCUCUGACGUUAGCGGCGGACGGGUGAGUAACACGUGGAUAACCUACCUAUAAGACUGGGAUAACUUCGGGAAACCGGAGCUAAUACCGGAUAAUAUAUUGAACCGCAUGGUUCAAUAGUGAAAGACGGUUUUGCUGUCACUUAUAGAUGGAUCCGCGCCGCAUUAGCUAGUUGGUAAGGUAACGGCUUACCAAGGGGACGAUGCGUAGCCGAUCUGAGAGGGUGAUCAGCCACACUGGAACUGAGACACGGUCCAGACUCCUACGGGAGGCAGCAGUAGGGAAUCUUCCGCAAUGGGCGAAAGCCUGACGGAGCAACGCCGCGUGAGUGAUGAAGGUCUUCGGAUCGUAAAACUCUGUUAUUAGGGAAGAACAAAUGUGUAAGUAACUAUGCACGUCUUGACGGUACCUAAUCAGAAAGCCACGGCUAACUACGUG
rnacentral:rRNA from 1 species